CCUACGGGGGGCUGCAGUCGAGAAUCAUUCACAAUGGGGGAAACCCUGAUGGUGCGACGCCGCGUGGGGGAAUGAAGGUCUUCGGAUUGUAAACCCCUGUCAUGUGGGAGCAAAUUAAAAAGAUAGUACCACAAGAGGAAGAGACGGCUAACUCGGUGCCAGCAGCCGCGGUAAUACAGAGGUCUCAAGCGUUGUUCGGAAUCACUGGGCGUAAAGCGUGCGUAGGCUGUUUCGUAAGUCGUGUGUGAAAGGCGGGGGCUCAACCCGCGGACGGCACAUGAUACUGCGAGACUAGAGUAAUGGAGGGGGAACCGGAAUUCUCGGUGUAGCAGUGAAAUGCGUAGAUAUCGAGAGGAACACUCGUGGCGAAGGCGGGUUCCUGGACAUUAACUGACGCUGAGGCACGAAGACCAGGGGAGCGAAAGGGAUUAGAUACCCCUGUAGUC
rnacentral:rRNA from 1 species